rnacentral:rRNA from 1 species
AGGCGACNACGGGUAGCCGGCCUGAGAGGGUGACCGGCCACANUGGGACUGAGACACGGCCCAGACUCCUACGGGAGGCAGCAGUGGGGAAUAUUGCACAAUGGGCGAAAGCCUGAUGCAGCGACGCCGCGUGAGGGAUGACGGCCUUCGGGUUGUAAACCUCUUUCAGUAGGGAAGAAGCNAAAGUGACGGUACCUGCAGAANAANCGCCGGCUAACUACGUGCCAGCAGCCGCGGUAAUACAUACA